AGAAACUAACAAGGAUUCCCCUAGUAACUGCGAGUGAAGCGGGAAAAGCUCAAAUUUAAAAUCCUUCGGGAGUUGUAAUCUAUAGAAGUGUUUUCGGUCGUUGCCUCGGACAAGUCUCUUGGAACAGAGCGUCAUAGAGGGUGAGAAUCCCGUCCUUGCCGAGCUCCCAACGUCUAUGUGAUACACUUUCAAAGAGUCGAGUUGUUUGGGAAUGCAGCUCAAAAUGGGUGGUAAACUCCAUCUAAAGCUAAAUAUUGGCGAGAGACCGAUAGCGAACAAGUACCGUGAGGGAAAGAUGAAAAGCACUUUGGAAAGAGAGUUAAACAGUACGUGAAAUUGUUGAAAGGGAAGCGCUUGGAGUCAGUCGCGUUGCAAGGACUCAGCCUCACGGUGUAUUUCUUUGCAACGGGUCAACAUCAGUUUCGACCGCGGAAAAAGGGCUUGGGGAAUGUGGCAACCUCGGUUGUGUUAUAGCCCCCUGUCGUACGCCGCGGUUGGGACUGAGGUCUGCUUACAGGAUGUUGACGAAAUGGCUCUAAGCGACCCG
rnacentral:rRNA from 1 species